rnacentral:rRNA from 1 species
GGCUACCAUGCAAGUCGAGCGGCAGCGGGAAGUAGCUUGCUACUUUUGCCGGCGAGCGGCGGACGGGUGAGUAAUGCCUGGGGAUCUGCCCAGUCGAGGGGGAUAACUACUGGAAACGGUAGCUAAUACCGCAUACGCCCUACGGGGGAAAGCAGGGGACCUUCUGGCCUUGCGCGAUUGGAUGAACCCAGGUGGGAUUAGCUAGUUGGUGAGGUAAUGGCUCACCAAGGCGACGAUCCCUAGCUGGUCUGAGAGGAUGACCAGCCACACUGGAACUGAGACACGGUCCAGACUCCUACGGGAGGCAGCAGUGGGGAAUAUUGCACAAUGGGCGCAAGCCUGAUGCAGCCAUGCCGCGUGUAUGAAGAAGGCCUUCGGGUUGUAAAGUACUUUCAGCGAGGAGGAAGGCGUUGUGGUUAAUAACCGCAGCGAUUGACGUUACUCGCAGAAGAAGCACCGGCUAACUCCGUGCCAGCAGCCGCGGUAAUACGGAGGGUGCAAGCGUUAAUCGGAAUUACUGGGCGUAAAGCGCACGCAGGCGGUCUGUCAAGUCGGAUGUGAAAUCCCCGGGCUCAACCUGGGGAACUGCAUCCGAAACUGGCAGGCUAGAGUCUUGUAGAGGGGGGUAGAAUUCCAGGUGUAGCGGUGAAAUGCGUAGAGAUCUGGAGGAAUACCGGUGGCGAACGCGGCCCCCUGGACAAAGACUGACGCUCAGUGCGAAAGCGUGGGAGCAAACAGGAUUAGAUACCCUGGUAGUCCACGCCGUAACGAUGUCGACUUGGAGGUUGUGCCCUUGAGCGUGCUUCCGGAG